rnacentral:rRNA from 1 species
UACGUAGGGGGCAAGCGUUGUCCGGAAUCAUUGGGCGUAAAGAGCGUGUAGGCGGUUCGGUAAGUCGGCUGUGAAAGUCCAGGGCUCAACCCUGGGAUGCCGGUCGAUACUGCCGGACUAGAGUUCGGAAGAGGCGAGUGGAAUUCCCGGUGUAGCGGUGAAAUGCGUAGAGAUCGGGAAGAACAUCGGUGGCGAAAGCGCUCUACUGGACCGCAACUGACACUCAGGGACGAAAGCUAGGGGAGCGAAUGGG